rnacentral:rRNA from 1 species
GGUCCAGACUCCUACGGGAGGCAGCAGUAGGGAAUCUUCCGCAAUGGGCGAAAGCCUGACGGAGCAACGCCGCGUGAGUGAUGAAGGUCUUCGGAUCGUAAAACUCUGUUAUUAGGGAAGAACAUACGUGUAAGUAACUAUGCACGUCUUGACGGUACCUAAUCAGAAAGCCACGGCUAACUACGUGCCAGCAGCCGCGGUAAUACGGAGGUGGCAAGCGUUAUCCGGAAUUAUUGGGCGUAAAGCGCGCGUAGGCGGUUUUUUAAGUCUGAUGUGAAAGCCCACGGCUCAACCGUGGAGGGUCAUUGGAAACUGGAAAACUUGAGUGCAGAAGAGGAAAGUGGAAUUCCAUGUGUAGCGGUGAAAUGCGCAGAGAUAUGGAGGAACACCAGUGGCGAAGGCGACUUUCUGGUCUGUAACUGACGCUGAUGUGCGAAAGCGUGGGGAUCAAACAGGAUUAGAUACCCUGGUAGUCCACGCCGUAAACGAUGAGUGCUAAGUGUUAGGGGGUUUCCGCCCCUUAGUGCUGCAGCUAACGCAUUAAGCACUCCGCCUGGGGAGUACGACCGCAAGGUUGAAACUCAAAGGAAUUGACGGGGACCCG